rnacentral:rRNA from 1 species
UACGGAGGAUGCAAGCGUUAUCCGGAAUGAUUGGGCGUAAAGCGUCCGCAGGUGGCAAUGUAAGUCUGCUGUUAAAGAGUCUAGCUCAACUAGAUAAGAGCAGUGGAAACUACAUAGCUAGAGUACGUUCGGGGCAGAGGGAUUUCCUGGUGUAGCGGUGAAAUGCGUAGAGAUCAGGAAGAACACCAGUGGCGAAGGCGCUCUGCUAGGCCGUAACUGACACUGAGGGACGAAAGCUAGGGGAGCGAAUGGG